AUGGUUUCUGAUUCCAUCUCCGUCGCGCCGGUAAUCGCCCCUGACGGCGGCAAACUCCGAUCCCGGCCGCGAUUCCUUCAGGAAUCAUGUUAUGUUCAGAGGGGUGAAAAAGAUGAAGGAGAAUUGAGAAGGUCGUUAUGGAGUAGUUAUGGCAGGAAUGAACUGGCUGGAGUAAUGCUGAGGUUGUUAGUCGCGAAUCUGGAUGAGGCAUGA